UCUUCUUCCCCAAUUUCAGAGUUUAGGUCACCGACGGUCUGUCGGAUGUUGGUGAUGUCUCCUCGGAGGAUUCCGUAGCCGACGUGCACUGGCGUUCGUUCCAUCAUCGUAUCAUCACCGCGCCCUUGAGAACCAACAUUGUCCUCAAUGUUGACUGAAGGAAAGAGCUCCGCCAAGUCUUCUUCAAACUCCCAUGAGGUAUCUUCUGGAAAUGCUCCACUCCACAGUACAAGCACCUGUUUUCUAGUCUUCCCUCCUUGUAAUAUUUUCCUUUCAUCUAAUAAGGCAGUAGGGUAAACGAUAGGUUGGUUAUUCACUGUGGUGAUAUGUUGAUCAUCAAUCGGAUUUUUUGGAAUGGGGCCGUGGAGUUUUCUCAGUAUGGAAACAUAGAAAGUCGAGUGAAUCUUACUUCCCUCAGGUAAUUCCAAUUUAUAGGCAACUUGGUUCAGUUUCUUGCAUAUCUUGUAUGGACCAAAAAACUUUUUGCAAAAUUUGUUAUGCAAUCGAUGAGCAACUGAAAUUUGUCUGUAUGGUUUCAAUUGAACAAAAACCCAAUCUCCCUCUUCAAAUGAAACCUCUGUUCUUUUCUUAUCAGCCAUUCUCUUCAUUCUUAUUUGUGCAUUCACUAGAUUUUUCUUAAUUUCCUCUAGUGUUUCUUCUCUAAGUUGGAGUUCUACAUCCACUGCUAGAAUUUGUGAAUCUCCUGAAUUAUAAUGCGGAAUUUCAGUAGCUUCCCUUCCAUACAAUACUUUGUAAGGACUUUCUCCUAGAGAUGAAUGAAAACUGGAAUUAUACCACAGAUCUUCCCAGGGCAGCAACUUAAGGUUUAGGAUGCUCAUGACAGUAGGCUCUUAGAUACAUCUCUACUCUCCUAUUUACUACUUCAGUUUGUCCGUCAGAUUGUGGAUGGUAAGCUGAAGAGAAAUUAAGUUUAGUCUCACUCAGUGUAUGAACAUCUUUUCAGAAUUUUGAGAGAGAAAAUUUGUCCCUAUUUGAUACAAUAGAUCUGGGGAUACCAUGUAAUUUAAUUACAUCAUUAGUGAAUACCUCAGCCACUCUAGCAGCAGUAUAUUUAGGUGGGAGAGGGCUGAAAUGAGCAUACUUGGACAACCUGUCUACAACCACCAUUAACACAGUGUUGCCUCUGACUCUAGGUAGAUCUGUGAUAAAGUCCAUACUUAUAUCUUCCCACACUUGAGAUGGAAUUGGUAGGGGCAUUAGCAGUCCAGCCAUUUUUGAAUUGGAUGGUUUAAUUUGUUGGCAAACAAUGCACUCUUUGAUAUACCUUUUUAUGGCAGCUCCCAUAUUAGGCCAAAAGAAUUUUUUUCCAAUUUUUUUUCCAAGUUCUAUGGAUUCUCGAAUGGCCUCCAAACUGAGAAUCAUGAAAUUCAUAUAAAAACUUCUUUAUUAGAGAGGAGUCUUCAUUUAAAUAAUACCUGUUUUUGUAUAGCAAUGUUCCAUUCCUGACCAUAAACCCACCACUAGUUCCAUUCUCAUCAAGAUAUUUGGUAAUCAAUGCUUUAGAAAUGGGAUUGGAUUCGUUCUCUAAUUUAAGCUCAUCUAUGAUAGAAUAUACUGGUUGUGAGAGAGAUAAUAGUGACCCCGGGGAACCUACUGAAUUAGAAGAAAAAAUGACAUCACCUUCUUCUAUUUCUUCAAAACUUCUCGAUAGUGCAUCUGCCACUACAGUUACUUUACCCGGUUUGUAUACAAUAGAAAAAUCAAAUCCCAAUAGCUUGCAUAGAAACACUUGUUGUUCAGGAGUUUGAAUGGCUUGUGUGAGUAUGUUCUUUAAACUCUUGUGGUCGGUUUCGAUAAUAAAGUGGGAUCUCAACAAAUAAUGUCUCCAUUUGCUAUCUGCCUGAGUAAUGGCAUACAUCUUUUUUACAUAUAUUGAGGAAGUCAUGAUCCUUCCCGAUAGUUUACAACUGAAAAAGUCAAUAGGGUGACAAUUUUGACUUAGGACAGCCCAAUACCAUUUUUGCACGCGUUUGUUUCCACUGUAAAUUCUAAUUCAAAGUCAGGAAAACCCAAAACUGGAGCAGACACCAUUGCUGCCUUAAGCCUUUCAAAACUGAUAGUGGCUUCAUCUCCCCACUUAAAAUUAUCCUUUCUAAGUAAAUCUGUCAUAGGUGACGCAAUGGAGGCAUAUUCCUUGAUAAAUCUCCUAUAGUACCCGGUAAGGCCCAAAAAUCCUCUUAGCAUUUUUAGAGUUUUGGGUUGUAGCCAGCCUACCAUUGCUUUUAUCUUCUCAUGAUCUGGAUGGACACCAUCACCCGCAAUAAUGUGUCCAAGAAAGGACAUUGAGUCUCUGCCAAAGGAGCAUUUGGACAGUUUUUCCAGUAAUUUAUUUUUUCUGAAUAACUCGAACACAAUUUUCAGAUGAUUAACAUGAACCUCCACUGAUGAACUAUACACCAAUAUGUCAUCAAAAAACACAAUGACAAAUUUCCUCAUGUACAUAGAAAAAAUAGAAUUCAUAACUGAUUGAAAUGUAGUUGGUGCAUUGGUAAGGCCGAAGGGCAUCACAAGGAACUCGAAGUAGCCUUGGUGAGUUCUAAAGGUUGUCCUUUCAGUGUGGUUAGGAUUUACUCUGAUUUGAUGAAAUCUCGAUCUCAAAUCCAGUUUAGAGUAAAUUGUAGAGUCUUUCAAUUCUUCCAAUAAUUCAUCUACAAUCGGAAUGGGAUAUUUAUCCUUGAUAGUCAAUGCAUUUAGGGCCCUAUAAUCCACACAUAGCCUAUACCCCCAUCCUUUUUCUUUACUAACAAUACUGGGGAAGAAAAUGGGCUUGAACUAGGUUUAAUGAUACCUUGUUUAAGCAUUUCAGCUAUUAGUCUUUCUAUUUCAGAUUUCUGAAAUUGAGGGUACCUGUAAGGUCUCACAUUAACCGAUCCAGAUCCAGGCUCUAAGUGUAUCGCGUGAUCCUUCUCUCUUUGAAGUGGAAGACCAUAAGGUUCCUCAAACAGUUCACAAUAUUCUUGAACUAUAGUUGUAAGCUCUGGACUUUUAAUUUAGAAACCAAUGCAGAUCCUUGUUCAACAUCUUCUAUUCUUUCCGUAUAGCAAAGAUAUGCUUCAUGUGUAGAUGCAGAUAGGUAUUUAAGCUGUCCUUGUAUCAAUGGAUCUUCAGAAAUCCAAGGUAGACCUACCCAAGAAAUAUUUUUACCCUUCAGGCAGAAUUCCAUAAUAGAGUUCCCAAAGUCAAAAGUCACCUUCCCAAAGGUUUUGAGUGCUUGAACUCCCAUAACCAUAUUUGAUCCAGCCAUUUUAAUUAGAAAUAUGCCCAUCACUACAUCCACACCUUGAAUUCUAAUCAUCACAUCUUUGCACACCUUGUUACAUAUCAAUUUUUCGCCACUACCUGUUGAGACAUAGAAGGGUACAAUUAGGCUUACUGUUAAUUUUAGUGCUAAAGCCACAUCCACUUGCAUAAAGUUGUGGCUGGAUCUAGAAUCGUUUAGAACACUAAUAGUCUGACAUUUGAUAAAACCUUCCACUCUGAUAGUGUUGAAAUUUAUGUUCCCUCAAAUGCAUGUAAUGAUAUCUCUGUUCUUUCUAGCUACACUAUAUCAAGUAUAACUUCUUCUUCGCUGGUAAAAGUAGGUUCAUUUUCUUCCUGAUCUUCAAUCUCUACAAACUCAGUCUCAUCUGCAAACAUUCUGAAUAGUUUCCCUUUCCUGCCCACACAGAUACUAUUAUGAUUUGCAGAAAAAUUUUCAUCACAAUUGAAGCAUAAACCCUUGCUCCUUCUUUCAGCUGUUUCUGUUGGUGAAAGCCUUUUAGUUCCAAAGUUUGAAUCAGAAUUUUUGUUGUUACCCCAUGGAUUCUCAAUUUUGUUUUGUUGAUUGGCAGAAAAUGGUAUUGCUGUAGUCACUUUAGGAAUGUAGUUUUUGUAAGAUAAUGUUUUGAUUGAGCCUUUUUUUGAUUCCACCAUUGUGGAUAGUUCAAAUGCUUCAUGAAUGUCUGUUGGUUUUCCCAUAACUACACCAGCUUGAAUGUCUUCCUUCAAUUCUGAAAUAUACAAUUUCAGGAUGAAAUAUUCUGGUAAGCCUAAAACUCUUGUGCACAUCUCCUCGAACAUACUCUGAUAUUCAGCUACAGUCCAUGUUUGGACUAAUUUACUAAAUUUGCCCCCAGGUAGUUGGUAGUGUAAUUUGGUCAACUUUCUCACUAUUGCAUCCACGAAAUUAAUCCAGGUUGACAGCAUAUUGCUGGCUUCCAUCCAUGAAAACCAUUUCCUAGCCAAUCCUUCCAUGUGAAAAGAAGCAAUUAAUAAUUUUUGGUCUUCAUGUACCUUGUUAAAUAUAAAGUAUCUCCUGGCUGAGUAGAUCCAGUGCUCAACCUCUGUGCCAUCGAACUUUGGCAUAUCCAUUUUGAUAUGUUUUGCCAGAACAUAAUCUGGGUUCUGUAAGAUACUGAGUGCAUAACAAGGCUUAUCCAGAUUUAUUAUUGAUUGAUAAUAAGUUUGCGGUAAUGAAAUAAUAUCAGAAUUAGGAUUAACAAUACUGUCGGGAGGUAUUUUUGGAAUUUCCCCUUUUUCAGAUGCAUAAUUGCUCUUACUCAUACCUGCCAAUUGUUUGCUUAUUUGCAUAAAGUUAUUAUUCAUAGUGGAUUUGAUUUUGCCCAUCUCAUUCACUUGACUUAAUUGUAAUGCUUGCAGCCUCAUAAAGUCUGGGUAAUUUGCAAUUUCUGAUGUGCUUGCCAUCUAAAAAUGAGAACAAAUCUUAAGAAAACACCAAUGAUACGAUCGUACCGGAAUUAAUUCAGAGAACGAGUUCACCUGAACAAUUACGGUGCUCCAGAUCCGUGAAGAAUUUCCACGGGUGUCCGAAGCAGUUAACAGCGGAGGUAUACUCCUGAAAUUGAGGCUUAGCCUCCCUAACGAUAGUUGUUAAGCUGAUUAGGUUGGGGCUCAAUGCGGAUGGAACUCCAGGACGCAGAUCGUGCUGACCGGCCGACGGACGAAUAGAGAACUGAACGGGCGCGAGAUGAGAUGGAGGGUACUCGACUGAAGCCGGCAAUGAUCGAAGGAAUGGGAGGAAUUUAGUUUAAUUUCAUAAAAUUGAUUACUGACCUAAUUCCAAUGGAACAGUAUUUAUAUUAUUACAGCGAUUUAAUUAAGUAAAAUUGUGAGGUCUCUUAAUAAAAAUGUCCACUAAUAGAAAGGGGAAAACGUGACUCAAUCGAGCAGGAAAUCCCUAGUCCAUCCGGAUUUCUUCUUCUCUCUUGUGGACCGG
rnacentral:lncRNA from 1 species